UAGGGAAUAUUGGGCAAUGGGUGAGAGCCUGACCCAGCCAUGCCGCGUGCCGGAAGACGGCCCUCUGGGUUGUAAACGGCUUUUAUAUAGGAACAAAAGGGUCCUGCGGGACAGAUUGUGUGUACUAUAUGAAUAAGCACCGGCUAACUCCGUGCCAGCAGCCGCGGUAAUACGGAGGAUGCAAGCGUUAUCCGGAAUAAUUGGGCGUAAAGCGUUCGUAGGUGGUUUUGUAAGUCUGCUGUUAAAGCGUGUAGCUCAACUACAUAUAGGCAGUGGAAACUACAAAACUUGAGUGCGUUCGGGGCAGAGGGAAUUCCUAGUGUAGCGGUGAAAUGCGUAGAGAUUAGGAAGAACACCGGUGGCGAAAGCGCUCUGCUAGGCCGCAACUGACACUGAGGGACGAAAGCUAGGGGAGCGAAUGGGAUUAGAUACCCCUGUAGUCC
rnacentral:rRNA from 1 species